UCAAGUUUAUUUGGACAACAUUUAUAAGUUAGAUGGCACUUAAAAACUAUAGUUUUUGACAGAUAGAUAGAUUUCUAAUCUUUAAUUGGUGGAUAAAAAACUUUCCAACUAUAUAAUCAUCCACACACGCAUGGUGAGAAGUACUUAAUCGAUCCGGAAAGUGACGACUUCGUACCGGGCACUCCUGCUCCGACCCAAAUACCCACCAACUGAGACCCGCUUAACCCAUCUGAACUCGGAACCGUACUCCCUGCCAUGACCGUCAAUACUCCGGACCCCACUUGGAACAUGGACACCUGCGCAUCGUCUCAUCUAACAUUGGAUUCAGGACCUCCAAACUGGACAGACACUUUUGUGCCACGAUAGUACCUGUGACCUCUACCCAUUCACAUACUCUUCAAGUGCUUUGCUUGCUUGUUCCUCCAAUAAGUGGCAUGAUCAUCUUGGACAUCCAAGCCAUAGUGUUUUGCAAACAUUAUCAUCUCGUUCAUUUAUUUCUUGUUCAUCAACUUUAAACAAUGGUUUGUGUUCAUCUUCUCAUUUGUUGAUUUGUUAUCAUUUACGGUUACAUCAUUUGACAUAAUCCAUUGUGAUUUAUGGACAUCCCUAGUUAAAAGCAAAACGAGUUAUAAAGACUACAUGGUGUUGAUUGAUAAUUA